rnacentral:rRNA from 1 species
CCCUUAGAUGUUCUGGGCAGCACGCGCGCUACAAUGGUCUUCGCAAACGGAUGCAUUCUCGAAGGAGAAUGCCAAUCUUGGAAUCUAUGCCUUGGUCGGGACAGUUGCUUGCAAUUUUUCGACUCGAACCAGGAAUUCCUUGUAAUCGUGAUUCAUCACAUCACGAUGAAUACGUCCCUGCCCUUUGUACACACCGCCCGUCGCUCCUACAGAUCGAAGAGUUAGGUGAAUUGUUUUGAUCGAUAAGAUUUGACUAUGGUCAACUCUCGUUGUGAAAUUCUGUGAAUCUGACUGUUUAGAGGAAGGAAAAGUCGUAACA